UGUCGCCCAGGGUUCUGUCCACCUCUGCUUCCGCGGUGGUCGUAGGGUCUGGCCUGCCUGGGCGCUAUGAGCUCCUUCCAAGGACAGAUGGCGGAGUAUCCGACCAUCUCCAUAGACUGUUUCGACCGGGAGAACCUGAAAGCCCGCGCCUACUUCCUUUCGCACUGCCACAAGGAUCACAUGAGAGGAUUAAGGGCUCCUUCCUUGAAAAGAAGACUGGAGUGCAGCUUGAAAGUUUUCCUGUAUUGUUCUCCAGUUACUAAGGAGCUGUUGCUAACUAGCCCAAAAU